rnacentral:rRNA from 1 species
AUUGAACGCUGGCGGCAGGCCUAACACAUGCAAGUCGAGCGGAUGAAGGGAGCUUGCUCCUGGAUUCAGCGGCGGACGGGUGAGUAAUGCCUAGGAAUCUGCCUGGUAGUGGGGUAUAACGUCCGGAAACGGGCGCUAAUACCGCAUACGUCCUGAGGGAGAAAGUGGGGGAUCUUCGGACCUCACGCUAUCAGAUGAGCCUAGGUCGGAUUAGCUAGUUGGUGGGGUAAAGGCCUACCAAGGCGACGAUCCGUAACUGGUCUGAGAGGAUGAUCAGUCACACGGGAACUGAGACACGGUCAAGACUCCUACGGGAGGCAGCAGUGGGGAAUAUUGGACAAUGGGCGAAAGCCUGAUCCAGCCAUGCCGCGUGUGUGAAGAAGGUCUUCGGAUUGUAAAGCACUUUAAGUUGGGAGGAAGGGCAGUAAGUUAAUACCUUGCUGUUUUGACGUUACCAACAGAAUAAGCACCGGCUAACUUCGUG